rnacentral:lncRNA from 1 species
AUGAAUUUUACAAAACUUCGGUUUCAUUCCGACUUUCUUUUUCUGCUUUGUUUCUUAAAAGUUGGCAAAGGUGACCAAGAAAAAUAUGAAACAAUCCCCUGGAUCAGAGGGGAUGAUUUUUUCACACUACUCUGCCCAACAAUUUGGUUUACAGGAGAAGAAGGAAAGCCCAAGAAACUGCUUCAGCAACCGAAUAUCCACGCCUUGAGGAUUUCUCUGUGUGUCCCCCAGAAAGUUUUAGUUGUUCUGUCAGAGGCAAGGGUUCAUUGCUCCCUUUUCUAGUCACUCUGCUGUUGCAUUUAUUUUUCUGAUUUUAUUUGAGUCCACUUCUUGCUUUUCUAUUUUUACCUCCUGGCUUCUGCUUACUCUUGAUAUCUACUUUCUCAUAGUUCUUGCUUAUUUAUUUGUUUCUGUGAGUCUCUUAGAUUCCUUUACUCUUUGGUCCUUCUCUACUUGGAUUGGAUAGUAGUUGUCAAUUUUAGUAUGACCUUGUAAGUUCAGAACACUCAAAUCAAGACACCAUUCUGGUAUUUCAUGCAGCAGGAGACAAUGAGUGUGGACAAAACUCAGAAUCAUGGUUAGCUCUCCAGAAACUCCAUUCUGAAGUUCAUUAUUAAUCAUUCUCAGAUGUACUCAGAUAUAUUCUGACUUUAAAAUAUUAUAACUGAGUAUCUAGUUUGUGACAGGAAGGGUAGGAAGGAAAAAGACCCUUCACACAGGUGAAAUUCUGAAGCCACAACAUUACCUUUCUUCUGCUUUGCUUGCUGUCUGACCACUUACACAGAGGCCUUGAAUGGUAUUUGAAUGUAUAUCAUUUAAAUGAAUGUGCACAAUUUGUUGAAGUCAAUAAAUAAUUAAUAUGGUAUACUGUCUAUUAAAAU